rnacentral:rRNA from 1 species
AUGCUAGCCGAGCGGUAGAGUCUCUUCGGGGACUUGAAGAGCGGCGCACGGGUGCGGAACACGUGUGCAACCUGCCUUUAUCUGGGGGAUAGCCUUUCGAAAGGAAGAUUAAUACCCCAUAAUAUACUGGAUGGCAUCAUCUGGUAUUGAAAACUCCGGUGGAUAGAGAUGGGCACGCGCAAGAUUAGAUAGUUGGUGAGGUAACGGCUCACCAAGUCAGCGAUCUUUAGGGGGCCUGAGAGGGUGAUCCCCCACACUGGUACUGAGACACGGACCAGACUCCUACGGGAGGCAGCAGUGAGGAAUAUUGGACAAUGGGUGAGAGCCUGAUCCAGCCAUCCCGCGUGAAGGACGACGGCCCUAUGGGUUGUAAACUUCUUUUGUAUAGGGAUAAACCUAGAUACGUGUAUCUAGCUGAAGGUACUAUACGAAUAAGCACCGGCUAACUCCGUGCCAGCAGCCGCGGUAAUACGGAGGGUGCAAGCGUUAUCCGGAUUUAUUGGGUUUAAAGGGUCCGUAGGCGGAUCUGUAAGUCAGUGGUGAAAUCUCACAGCUUAACUGUGAAACUGCCAUUGAUACUGCAGGUCUUGAGUGUUGUUGAAGUAGCUGGAAUAAGUAGUGUAGCGGUGAAAUGCAUAGAUAUUACUUAGAACACCAAUUGCGAAGGCAGGUUACUAAGCAACAACUGACGCUGAUGGACGAAAGCGUGGGGAGCGAACAGGAUUAGAUACCCUGGUAGUCCACGCCGUAAACGAUGCUAACUCGUUUUUGGGUUUUCGGAUUCAGAGACCUAAGCGAAAGUGAUAAGUUAGCCACCUGGGGAGUACGAACGCAAGUUUGAAACUCAAAGGAAUUGACGGGGGCCCGCACAAGCGGUGGAUUAUGUGGUUUAAUUCGAUGAUACGCGAGGAACCUUACCAAGGCUUAAAUGGGAAAUGACAGGUUUAGAAAUAGACUUUUCUUCGGACAUUUUUCAAGGUGCUGCAUGGUUGUCGUCAGCUCGUGCCGUGAGGUGUUAGGUUAAGUCCUGCAACGAGCGCAACCCCUGUCACUAGUUGCCAUCAUUAAGUUGGGGACUCUAGUGAGACUGCCUACGCAAGUAGAGAGGAAGGUGGGGAUGACGUCAAAUCAUCACGGCCCUUACGCCUUGGGCCACACACGUAAUACAAUGGCCGGUACAGAGGGCAGCUACACAGUGAUGUGAUGCAAAUCUCGAAAGCCGGUCUCAGUUCGGAUUGGAGUCUGCAACUCGACUCUAUGAUAGCUGGAAUCGCUAGUAAUCGCGCAUCAGCGCAAG